ensembl:lncRNA
GAGGGGUUUCCAUACUGGUUAGAGGGGUUUCCAUACUGGGCAGAGGGUUUCCAUACUGGGUCGAGGGGUUCCAUACUGGGUCGAGGGGUUCCAUACUGGGUAGAGGGUGUCCAUUGUGGGUAGAGGGGUUCCAUACUGGGCAGAGGGGUUCAACACUGGGUAGAGGGGUUCCAUUCUGGGUAGAGGGUUUCCAUACUGGGUAUAGGGGUUCCACACUGGUCCGCGGGUUUCUAUCCUGGGUUGAGGGGUUCCAUUCUGGGUAGAGGGGUUCCAUACUGGGCCGAGGGGUUCCAUACUGGGUAGAGGGGUUCCAUACUGGGUAGAGGGGUUCCAUACUGGGUAGAGGGGUUCCAUACUGGGUGGAGGGGUUCCAUAGUGGGUAGAGGGGUUCCAUAGUGGGUAGAGGGGUUCCAUACUGGGUAGAGGGGUUCCAUAGUGGGUAGAGGGGUUCCAUAGUGGGUAGAGGG